AUGCAUGUCUCAGUACAAGCCGUCCUGUACGGUGAAACCGCGAAAGGCUCAUUAAAUCAGUUAUGGUUCCUUAGAUCGUACCCACGUUACAUGGAUAACUGUGGUAAUUCUAGAGCUAAUACAUGCCGACAGAGCUCCGACCAGCGUGUCGACGUUCGGCGGUUCGCCGUCGUCGUCGGCCGUUCGGAAGGAGCGCUUUUAUUAGAUCAAAACCGGCCAAGCGUCUCGGUCGCGUUUCGCACGCGUCCGGGCGUAAGUGGCCCGCGCAAAGACUUGACGACUCUGAAUAACUUCGAGCUGAUCGCACGGUCCUAGUACCGGCGACGUAUCUUUCAAAUGUCUGCCUUAUCAACUGUCGACGGUAGGUUCUACGCCUACCGUGGUGGUAACGGGUAACGGGGAAUCAGGGUUCGAUUCCGGAGAGGGAGCCUGAGAAACGGCUACCACAUCCAAGGAAGGCAGCAGGCGCGUAAAUUAUCCACUCCU
rnacentral:rRNA from 1 species